UCAGCUAAAAUGCAGGUCAUCAAUUUCCCCCUCUCGUUAUUAUUAAACCUGAUCUGGAACAACUUUAGGACGUGAAACCCUAACCCUGACCCUAACCCUGACCCUAACCCUGACCCUGACCCUAACCCAUAACCCAAAUCCUAACCCUAACCCCUAACUCUAACCCUAACCCUGACCCCUAACCCAAACCGUAACCCUAACCCUGACCCUGACCCUAACCCUGACCCUAACCCAAAUCUAACCCUAACCCCUAACCCUAACCCUAACUCUAACCCUAACCCUGACCCCUAACCCAAACCGUAACCCUAACCCUGACCCUAACCCUGACCCGACCCUAACCCUGACCCUGACCCUAACCCAAAUCCUAACCCUAACCCCUAACUCUAACCCUAACCCUGACCCUAACCCAAACCGUAACCCUAACCCUGACCCCUAACCCAAACCCUAACCCUGACCCUGACCCUUUUCCCUGAUCUUGGUCAGGGUGGACUGGCGGUGGUCCCAAAGCUGAGCGUCCUCCUGUGAUGUCCACUCACCUCGUCCUCUACCAGUAGAGAAGCAUUUAAAGAUGACCAUCCUCAUGUCAAGACCCUCCUGGAUCCAGAUUUUGUUCAUGAUUCUGAUGACCUGAAGAGUCAGCAUGUCCUGCCGCAGGUCGUCUCCUGACUGGGGGACAUGGGGGACAUGGGGGGACAUGGGGGAGAGGCUCCAUCACUGCCGAUAAAACCUGAGUUCAGUUUGAAUAGAGGCUGUAAAUCUCACUUUGAAGAUGACACUUAUGUGGUCUCCAAGAGGGUCCCGGUUUUGGAAGGACAGUUUCAGAGGCCUAACGAGCCUGGCGCCUGACGAGCCUAACGAGCCUGACACCUAACGAGCCUAACGAGCCUGGCGGGCCACCUGCGUACCUGGGUGUUGAGGCCCCUGACGUGCAGCGCAGGGUUGAGGGGAAGUCUGCAACUGCUGCUCACUGAGAAGAACUGAUUCAGCUCCUCCAGAGCUUCUUUGAGGACACACUGCAACAAAGGCACAGCUAGAUUUAAUGUUUAAUUAUCGCUGUGUAAAUAUCUGACUGGCCAUAAUUGAUCUGAACAUUCUGACGACCCGAUUUGAACUGAGCAGGGUUCCAAAGACACCAUGAAAGGAACCCUUCUCUGCUCCGUUCCGAGCGAAUCAACCCUCAUCUUUGGGGCUUGGAUGUCCCAACCUGUCUGCUGGACGGGGUCGCGUCCCGGACUCUGUGGGCCACAUUGGUAAGAAUGGAGACAAGCCAGCUCUGACGAUCAAAUUCCUCUCGGAGACCUCGACCGACGCAGCAGAGCAGAGCGGCCAGCAGGUGGCGAUAGCGGGCGCUAAACUGGCUGUCCAGCAGGUUGUCCUUCAGAAGCCUGAUGCAAACACACAGCAGCAUCCUCACACACUGGACCAGAGGGUUAGGGUUAGGGUUAGGGUUAGGGUGAGGGUUAGGGUUAGGGGUUAGGGUUAGGGGCUAGGGUGAGGGUUAGGGGUUAGGGGUUAGGGGUUGGGUGAGGGGUUAGGGGUUAGGGGCUAGGGGCUAGGGUUAGGGGUUAGGGGCUAGGGUUAGGGGUGAGGGGUUAGGGGUUAGGGUUAGGGGUUAGGGGUUAGGGCUAGGGUUAGGGUUAGGGGUUAGGGGUUAGGGGCUAGGGGCUAGGGUUAGGGGUUAGGGGCUAGGGUUAGGGUGAGGGGUUAGGGGUUAGGGGCUAGGGUUAGGGGUUAGGGGUUAGGGGCUAGGGUUAGGGUGAGGGGUUAGGGUUAGGGGCUAGGGUUAGGGGUUAGGGGUUAGGGGCUAGGGUUAGGGUUAGGGGUUAGGGGCUAGGGGCUAGGGUUAGGGGCUAGGGUUAGGGUUAGGGGUUAGGGUUAGGGGCUAAGGGUUAGGGUUGGGGGGGUUAGGGUUAGGGGCUAAGGGUUAGGGUUAGGGUUAGCGUUAGGGCUAGGGUGAGGGUUAGGGGUUAGGGGCUAAGGGUUAGGGGUUAGGGGGAGGGUUAGGGUUAGGGUUAGGGGUUAAGGGUUAGGGCUAGGGUGAGGGGGGGUUAGGGUGAGGGUGAGGGUUAGGGGUUAGGGGUUAGGGUUAGGGGUGAGGGUUAGGGUUAGGGUUAGGGGUUAGGGUUAGGGUGAGGGUGAGGGUUAGGGUUAGGGUUAGGGGUUAGUGUUAGGGGUUAGGGGUUAGGGGUUAGGUUAGGGUGAGGGUUAGGGGUUAGGGUUAGGGGUUAGGGGUUAGGGUUAGGGUUAGGGGUUAGUGUUAGGGUUAGGGGUUAGGGUUAGGGUUAGCAUGAUCACUAAACCAGCUGACCAGAACAGGUAGUGAGCAAUCCGAAUGUCCCUCAUGGCUCUCCGGAGCAGGAAGCGAACCAAGGAACUGUCCAAGUAGCACUCGUACUUCAGAGCCUAAAAGAAAGGGAACGGGCCAGGACCAGAACCCAGGAGCAGGGUUAAUGAAUCAGAGCUGCUAUAAAACACAUUAAGCUAACAUGAUCCGAAACU
rnacentral:lncRNA from 1 species